ensembl:lncRNA
CACACACAAAGAAAAGGACUACACAAUAUUGAAUACUCAGUGAAGUAAUACUACAUGAGGUGUUUCGUGGUAUAAAUCUCCUGUAAACAAAUACUAUAUCAGUACGUGAUUGUGUGAGUCUACUACAGUGUGCAGAAUACAUUUUCUGUCUGAACAAGUGCUUUUAAUAUGCCCUGCUAGGCAGACAAAAUACUGCAACAAUUACUCUGACCUGCAGAGUGAAUCUGAUUGGUUGGCUGGGCAUAAAACUGUAUUCCCACCCACCAUGGGAUACAUUCAGGCAAUCAACUACCUCAAGACUUUUGCACUUUACGGAGCCAAAAGAAUAACACACCAAAACAAAAAGGAACAAAAAACAUAUUUUUUCUUUAAGUUCUAACUUCACAGUAUUUAACAAGAAAACAAACAAUACAUGUGCACGUGGGUUAUAGGUUAAGGGGAAAAUCGUCCUGCAGGUAUGUAUGAGAUAAAAGUUGAACUUUCAAAAUAAAAGUCUGAUAUUGUAUGUCAGCGAAAUGGGGUAGUGAAGAAAUAAGAAUUUCCUUAACUUUUUAGUUCAAUUGAAAUGCACCUCCCCUGUCUAGUUUGGGAUGUAAAAGGACCACCAACAUGCAAGGAAUCAAGCAUUCGAAUACCUUGCAUUCAAAACAGUCAUUACAAUCAUCCUCAAAGAUCAUGCUUUUCACAAAAAAAGCAAACCAACAACAAUAAUAAAAAAACCACAGUACAUAAAACUUUUUUUUUUCUUUUUUUUUUUUUUUUUUACAAUUGCUUACUGUUGAGUUUUGGAUUGACAACCAACAAAGGUCACAGACAGACACACUAUCAAGACAGGAGGACUUGUGUUACAGUCCUAAUAACAAAAGGGUGAACAUUUUCAGCUAAAUCCCUGUAUGCGGUUUCCAUACCCCCCUCCCUUUGACACUGUUAAACAAUAUAGUCUUACGUUGCCACAAUCGAGCCCAAGUACUGUUUUCACAAAUGUGAGAAAGACAGAAUUUGAUAUUUAAAACAAUAUGGGGUCAGGAAAGCUGAUAUUAUGGCAGCUAGUAAAACAUCCAUGCACACAGAACACGUCACUUCCACACCACAGGACAGAGGCAGCCUGAGAGUUUACCUCAGAGUUUUAACAUGUAUGUAGCAGUGUUCAAGGUCUCUUUUUAGAAUCACAACCAAAACCCUGCUACAGUAUAUGGAUUCAACUAGAUGAGAAUAUCAAUAUCAGACUUGUAUGUUUCUAUAUUGUAUGUAUGUAAACCCAGUUCAUGCUAGACACUGACUGGAAAACCUCUGGUAAACAUAGGGGGUGGUGGGCGGACAGAAAACUGAAAAAGGACAAACUACAUGUUUGUUUAAGAAACCUUAUCACAAGGCUAUGCAAGAAAUACCACAACUAUCUGAUGAUGCAACACACAGAUCACUCUACUGAUAUACACCCUCCUUACCCACUUCCCACUUUGAUGUAAGCAUGCUACUUAGUUAUGUUCCUGUUUUUAAGACAAGUCACUUUCAACCACAACAAAUAUAGAAUCAUAUGCACUCUUUCUGUCUGACGUGUUUGACUGAAUGGUUUAUUCAACACAGCUUCUGACCUGCCAUAAAAAUACUGUUUAUUACUCUAUUACUUUAAAUAUGCCACUACCAAUUUUUCUUUCAUUAACUCAACGCAAUUGCUUUGAUUGAUGACUACAAUAAAAGACAGGCUAUUGUUAUUCGAAGAUAUGCAAAGGCAGUGUCUGUCCCCCCCCCCAAAAAAAUAGCUGGUUAGAUAAAUAUGAUAAUAUCAUAUGAUAAUAUCUUUACUCUAUUACCUCUGUUGUGGUUGCUUGGCUAGCAGCUGUCCUGGCAGUUGAGGACAGCUGCUAUGUUGUUUUCUUUGAGAAUUUUAAUGUCAUUUCUAUGCCCACUACGCUAUUUUAGAACCACCCCCAUAUCAAUUCUAUGGUCGGUAUCAUUCUCUCUAGUUCUACACUCCCUCCCCCUACACUUAUCUCUGAGUGGCACUUUCCGGUCGAUACGAAUAGAUUUAAAAUCUCUUAACUGAAAUCGGACUCUCAAUCAGCACUAUCCCCCGGUAAGUAUAAAGCCAUGAUUUUACCACAAUUAAACGACAGAAGCAUUUACAAAGUUUUGCAUUGUUUUUUUUCCUGCAUUUUGAUUCAAAUGUCCACUCAGUAGAGUCGCUGGAGAGCUCGAAUGAAAAAUUAAAUAAAAAAAGAAAACAAAAAUGGCUACGCUGACAAUGUCUUUUCAUUUCUGAAAGAGAUGUUGAAAUGAUUAAAUAAAUGUUUCCUCCCUUGAUUAAGUUAGCCUGCUGGUUCCCCCGUGUCCCCCUCGCCUGUUGCUUGGGGGGCGUUGAAUGCCUCUGCUGGCUAACACCUCCCUCCC